rnacentral:rRNA from 1 species
CAUGUAGGCGGAUUAAUAAGUUUGAAGUGAAAUCCUAUAGCUUAACUAUAGAACUGCUUUGAAAACUGUUAAUCUAGAAUGUGGGAGAGGUAGAUGGAAUUUCUGGUGUAGGGGUAAAAUCCGUAGAGAUCAGAGGGAAUACCGAUUGCGAAGGCGAUCUACUGGAACAUUAUUGACGCUGAGAUGCGAAAGCGUGGGGAGCAAACA